GAAAUCCACCAAUCAAAUUACUACAAAAAAGAACACUGAAGCCGAAAUUCUGUAACCUGGGCAACUGACAAAACCUGAAGGCGUACAUCUGGUGGCCAGAAAAUAACAAAGAGUGCUUGUACUAAAGGGCAAAUACCAUGUCGAGACAAACUCUCAAAACUUCAUCAUUUCGGAUGAAACUCCGGCCAGUUUCCCUCGCACACCAGCACACCAGAGUCAACCCGCUUCUACUAGCUUUACCCAGUACCUGCUACCUCUGGCUCACCCAUACAUCACUCUUGCCGCUGACUGGAUCCAGAGUACGCAGAAACACUGCAACCCCUUUAAACACAGGAAACAGAGGCAGACACACAGGACACGGGAGAGUCAAGAAGCUACCAGAGCGGGUGAGCCAACUCAGAACACCGCUGGUCCACCUUGAGGUCCAAAGGGGUUACCAAAGCCCAGGAGGCAGGGCUAUCAGGGGUGAGAAGCACGGGAGGUGGGUGGCGCAAAGGACUAGAUGGGCAGCUGAAGCACAGGAAGUUCAAGUGCUCUAUUCAAGGUCAGACAAGGACCAGCGAAGCCCACAGCUCUCAGCCAGAGUCCUGGCCUUCAGUCUCCUGCUAGUGCCUCUCAGGGGCCGCAAGUGCCAGAGGUCAGAAGGCACGGGAACCAGCAGAGCAGAGCAGGAGGGAUGCCCUCCCCCAACACUCGUCCUCUGACUUCCAACAGACUCCUGGGUGACAGACGCCUCCUGAGAAGGCCCUCUCUCUGGACCCUCUUACAUCGCCACUGCAAUCAAUGAAGACCACUGGAACACUACCUACCUGAGCUCCCUAAGCAACAGGAUACCCUUGGUUUAAAUUAAGGAUCCACAAGAAAAUAGGGGGAAAAAAAAUCAUACAAAAACCAUUCCUGUAUUUGGCCAUUUAAAAAAGCCAACAUUAAAUUGCUUACUAUCCCUUA